rnacentral:tRNA from 1 species
GCCUUCGUGGUUUAGUGGUCAGAACUCUGGGCGGGUAUUCCAGAGGUCCGUGGUUCGAGUCACGACGAAGUCG